rnacentral:rRNA from 1 species
UUGGAGGGCAAGUCUGGUGCCAGCAGCCGCGGUAAUUCCAGCUCCAAUAGCGUAUAUUAAAGUUGUUGCAGUUAAAAAGCUCGUAGUUGAAUUUCGGGAUCAAUACGUCGGUCGUGCCUCUGGUAUGAACUGGUGUUAUUGAUUCCUCCUUUCUGAUAAACCAUGAUGUCAUUAAUUUGGUGUUGUGGGGAGUCAGGACUGUUACUUUGAAAAAAUUAGAGUGUUUAAAGCAGGCCUACGCUUGAAUACAUUAGCAUGGAAUAAUGAAAUAGGACGUUCGAACCUAUUUUGUUGGUUUCUAGGAUCAACGUAAUGAUUAAUAGGGAUAGUUGGGGGCAUUAGUAUUCAAUUGUCAGAGGUGAAAUUCUUGGAUUUAUUGAAGACUAACUACUGCGAAAGCAUUUGCCAAGGAUGUUUUCAUUAAUCAAGAACGAAAGUUAGGGGAUCGAAGACGAUCAGAUACCGUCGUAGUCUUAACCAUAAACUAUGCCGACUAGGGAUCGGAUGACGUUAAUUUUUAAUGACUCAUUCGGCGCCUUACGGGAAAC